UUACAAGAGUCCCAAGCCCCCAGUGGUUCCAAAAUCUAAGAACAACGUUUAGCUGUCUUCAAUACUGUGAUGUGACUGAGCUGUCAGCACAGAGGUGAUGCAGAAGCAGGUCACCCCUGAGCAUCAAUCGGUUGUGCUGGAGUUAGACCAAAAGUACAGGAUCCAUCAGGCCACAGAUACCCCACGAUGCAGUGCCUGGGGAGAUACUGCUAUGAAAGACGUACCAGCGGACAUGCCUAUGUGGAGCGGAGAAGGCUUCUCCCUUCAGUCCGGAGAAGAUGAGGCUCGGUUUGCUUAGUGGAGGCCUCUCUCCCGCUCCCUCAAAGGAAGUUGUGGGGAGCUGUGGGCCGGCCUGUUCUCGCUGAUAACGAGCGAUAGGACAAGAGGGGCCGCGGCCCCGCGGGGGGCGGUGUGGGCCGGGCGUGGGCGGGCGGAGCGGUGGGCGCUGCCCCGGCGAGGGCCCGACUUGUGGUGCGGGCAGGAGCGGCCCGAGCUUGGCCCCGCUCUGCUGCUGUCCGCCUCCCGCCGGGCGCGGCAGGGCCCGAUGGCGGGCGGGCUGGGGCCGCGGCUGCUGGCCUUGGCCUUGGCCUUGGGGCCGGCAGGUGUUUGGGCUCAGUUGAUUGUGGUGGAAUCUGGCGGAGGUCUGCGAGCAGCUGGAGACUCCGUGCAGCUCUCCUGCCAGGGAUCUGGAUUCAUCUUUGGAAGUCAUGAUGUCUGGUGGUACCGUCAGGCACCCGGUGGAACUCUCGAGUGGAUGUCCUACCUUAACUAUGAUGGUAGCACUUUAGAAUAUAGCAAAACAGUGGAGGGCCGAGCCAGUGUCUCCCGGGACAAUUCCCAGUCCAAAGCUUAUCUGUCCCUGCGUGCCCUUCUACCCCAGGACUCAGCCCACUACUUCUGUGCAGUUCGCACAGGGACAGGAAACCCAGCUGCGCUUUAACACAAAC